rnacentral:rRNA from 1 species
AGGUUUGAUCCUGGCUCAGGACGAACGCUGGCGGCAUGCCUAAUACAUGCAAGUCGAACGCUGAAGCACUCUGCUUGCAGAGUGCGGAUGAGUGGCGAACGGGUGAGUAACACGUGGGGAAUCUGCCUAUAAGUGGGGGAUAACAUUCGGAAACGGAUGCUAAUACCGCAUAUAUUCUUGGACCGCCUGGUCCUUGAAAGAAAGACGGCUUUGCUGUCGCUUAUAGAUGAUCCCGCGGCGUAUUAGUUAGUUGGUGGGGUAAUGGCCUACCAAGACCAUGAUACGUAGCCGACCUGAGAGGGUGAUCGGCCACACUGGGACUGAGACACGGCCCAGACUCCUACGGGAGGCAGCAGUAGGGAAUCUUCCACAAUGGGUGCAAACCUGAUGGAGCAAUGCCGCGUGAAUGAAGAAGGUCUUCGGAUCGUAAAGUUCUGUUAUUAGAGAAGAACAAGUCAAGGAGUAACUGUCUUGACUUUGACGGUACCUAACCAGAAAGUCACGGCUAACUACGUGCCAGCAGCCGCGGUAAUACGUAGGUGACAAGCGUUGUCCGGAAUUAUUGGGCGUAAAGGGAGCGCAGGCGGUUGGAAUAGUCUGAUGUGAGAGCCCACGGCUUAACCGUGGAAGGUCAUUGGAAACUGUCCAACUUGAAUGCAGAAGAGGUAAGUGGAAUUCCAUGUGUAGCGGUGAAAUGCGUAGAUAUAUGGAGGACACCA